rnacentral:rRNA from 1 species
GUGCCAGCCGCCGCGGUAAUACGGAGGGUGCAAGCGUUAAUCGGAAUUACUGGGCGUAAAGGGCGCGUAGGCGGCCUUGUAUGUCGGGUGUGAAAGCCCUGGGCUCAACCUGGGAAUUGCACUCGAAACUACAAAGCUAGAGUUUGGUAGAGGAAAGCAGAAUUCCACGUGUAGCGGUGAAAUGCGUAGAUAUGUGGAGGAAUACCGAUGGCGAAGGCAGCUUUCUGGGCCAAUACUGACGCUGAGGUACGAAAGCGUGGGUAGCCAACAGGAUUAGAAACCCUCGUAGUCC